rnacentral:rRNA from 1 species
AUUGAACGCUGGCGGCAUGCUUUACACAUGCAAGUCGAACGGCAGCGCGGGCUUCGGCCUGGCGGCGAGUGGCGAACGGGUGAGUAAUACAUCGGAACGUGCCCAGUAGUGGGGGAUAGCUCGGCGAAAGCCGGAUUAAUACCGCAUACGACCUGAGGGUGAAAGCGGGGGAUCUUCGGACCUCGCGCUAUUGGAGCGGCCGAUGGCAGAUUAGCUAGUUGGUGGGGUAAAGGCCUACCAAGGCGACGAUCUGUAGCUGGUCUGAGAGGACGACCAGCCACACUGGAACUGAGACACGGCCCAGACUCCUACGGGAGGCAGCAGUCGGCAAUGUUGGGCAAUGGGCGAAAGCCUGAUCCAGCAAUGCCGCGUGUGUGAUGAAGGCCUUCGGGUUGUAAAGCACUUUUGGCGGGAACGAAAAGGAUUGUGCCAAUACCACGGUUCGAUGACGGUACCCGCAGAAUAAGCACCGGCUAACUACGUG